CAACUUGGCUGUAUACAAAAAGUGUUCCUGGUGGUGGGUGAGUUGCAACAAGCAAGGGAAGAAUGAAAAUUAGUUGACCCAGCCUAGAUAAAUUAUUCAAAUAUAGGGAUCGAUGUUACUCACCCAGAUGGAGUCAUAUGCAACAGUUUGGUGGAAGCUGGAGCUUGACUCCUCCAAUUUCUUUCCAUCGGCUGGGAGAAGGAUCCUGCAGAUGAGAUCCCAAGCAACUCGCUAGCUCCCC
rnacentral:lncRNA from 1 species